rnacentral:rRNA from 1 species
UACGUAGGGGGCAAGCGUUAUCCGGAUUUACUGGGUGUAAAGGGAGCGUAGGUGGCAUGGUAAGCCAGAAGUGAAAACCCGGGGCUCAACCCCGCGGAUUGCUUUUGGAACUAUCAGGCUGGAGUGCUGGAGGGGUAAGUGGAAUUCCUAGUGUAGCGGUGAAAUGCGUAGAUAUUAGGAGGAACACCGGUGGCGAAGGCGGCUUACUGGACAGAAACUGACACUGAGGCUCGAAAGCGUGGGGAGCAAACAGG